UGGGGAAUUUUGGACAAUGGGGGGAAACCCUGAUCCAGCCAUCCCGCGUGUGCGAUGAAGGCCUUCGGGUUGUAAAGCACUUUUGGCAGGAAAGAAACGUCGCGGGUUAAUACCCCGCGAAACUGACGGUACCUGCAGAAUAAGCACCGGCUAACUACGUGCCAGCAGCCGCGGUAAUACGUAGGGUGCAAGCGUUAAUCGGAAUUACUGGGCGUAAAGCGUGCGCAGGCGGUUCGGAAAGAAAGAUGUGAAAUCCCAGAGCUUAACUUUGGAACUGCAUUUUUAAACUACCGGGCUAGAGUGUGUCAGAGGGAGGUGGAAUUCCGCGUGUAGCAGUGGAAAUGCGUAGNUAUGCGGAGGAACACCGAUGGCGAAGGCAGCCUCCUGGGAUAACACUGACGCUCAUGCACGAAAGCGUGGGGAGCAAACAGGAUUAGAUACCCUGGUAGUCCACGCCCUAAACGAUGUCAACUAGCUGUUGGGGCCUUCGGGCCUUGGUAGCGCAGCUAACGCGUGAAGUUGACCGCCUGGGGAGUACGGUC
rnacentral:rRNA from 1 species